rnacentral:misc_RNA from 1 species
GAUGAAGAACGUAGCGAAAUGCGAUAAGUAAUGUGAAUUGCAGAAUUCAGUGAAUCAUCGAAUCUUUGAACGCACCUUGCACCCUUUGGCAUUCCGAAGGGUAUGCUCGUUUGAGUGUCAUUGUACUCUCACACUUCCAAUCUUUGGAUUGGGAGCAGUGGACUUGGGUGUUGCUGCUUACUGUGGCUCACCUCAAAUCGAUUCGUGCACCUCUUGGUUGGACAUAGUACGGCGUGAUAAGUGUCUUCGCCGGCACCUCAGUAGAGGGUGGCUGAUCAGGAGCUCUGUGCUUCAAACCGUCCUCGGACAACAACUGACAACUUGACCUCAAAUCGAGUAGGACUACCCGCUGAACUUAAGCAUAUCAUAAGCGGAGGA